AACUUUUGGCAAUGGAUCUCUUGGCUUUCGCAUCGAUGAAGAACGCCGCGAAAGUGCGAAACGUAAUGAGAAUUGCAGAAUUCAGUGAAUCAUCGAAUCUUUGAACGCAUCUUGCGCUCCUUGGUAUUCCGAGGAGCAUGCCUGUUUGAGUGUCGUGAACCUUCUCAACCCUUCCCUUCUUUUAGGGCUCUCGGGUUGGAUUUGGACGCUUGCCGUGGGUUUCGACCUUUCGGCUCGUCUUGAAAUGCAUCAGCUGGUCCGCCGCGCGAGUUUGGUAUUAACAACGGUGUGAUAAGAAACGCUUCGUGACUGUAGCGCCGUUUCGCCGACUCGUUGGAGGGGCCGCUUCCAACCGUCUUAGGACAAACCUUUCACUUCAUCUGACCUCAAAUCAGGUAGGACUACCCGCUGAACUUAAGCAUAUCAAUAAGCGGAGGCU
rnacentral:misc_RNA from 1 species